rnacentral:rRNA from 1 species
CCUACGGGCGGCUGCAGUGGGGAAUAUUGCACAAUGGGCGCAAGCCUGAUGCAGCCAUGCCGCGUGUGUGAAGAAGGCCUUCGGGUUGUAAAGCACUUUCAGCGGGGAGGAAGGCGGUGAGGUUAAUAACCUCAUCGAUUGACGUUACCCGCAGAAGAAGCACCGGCUAACUCCGUGCCAGCAGCCGCGGUAAUACGGAGGGUGCAAGCGUUAAUCGGAAUUACUGGGCGUAAAGCGCACGCAGGCGGUCUGUCAAGUCGGAUGUGAAAUCCCCGGGCUCAACCUGGGAACUGCAUUCGAAACUGGCAGGCUAGAGUCUUGUAGAGGGGGGUAGAAUUCCAGGUGUAGCGGUGAAAUGCGUAGAGAUCUGGAGGAAUACCGGUGGCGGAGGCGGCCCCCUGGACAAAGACUGACGCUCAGGUGCGAAAGCGUGGGGAGCAAACAGGAUUAGAUACCCCGGUAGUC